rnacentral:rRNA from 1 species
CCUACGGGUGGCAGCAGUGAGGAAUAUUGGUCAAUGGACGAGAGUCUGAACCAGCCAAGUAGCGUGAAGGAUGACUGCCCUAUGGGUUGUAAACUUCUUUUAUAUGGGAAUAAAAUGUUCCACGUGUGGGAUUUUGUAUGUACCAUAUGAAUAAGGAUCGGCUAACUCCGUGCCAGCAGCCGCGGUAAUACGGAGGAUCCGAGCGUUAUCCGGAUUUAUUGGGUUUAAAGGGUGCGUAGGUGGAUUGUUAAGUCAGUUGUGAAAGUUUGCGGCUCAACCGUAAAAGUGCAGUUGAAACUGGCAGUCUUGAGUACAGGAGAGGUGCGCGGAAUGCGUGGUGUAGCGGUGAAAUGCUUAGAUAUCACGAAGAACUCCGAUUGCGAAGGCAGUUCACUGGACUGCAACUGACACUGAGGCUCGAAAGUGUGGGUAUCAAACAGGAUUAGAUACCCUUGUAGUC